rnacentral:rRNA from 1 species
AGAGUUUGAUCAUGGCUCAGGACGAACGCUGGCGGCGUGCCUAACACAUGCAAGUUGAGCGACGAACCAGGGCUUGCCCUGGGGCAAAGCAGCGAACGGGUGAGUAACACGUGGGUAACCUGCCCCGAUGACCGGGACAACCCGAGGAAACUCGGGCUAAUACCGGAUGUGCUCGCCGGACAUCAGUCCGGCGCGUAAAGGAAGCUUCGGCCUCCGCUUCGGGAGGGGCCCGCGGCCCAUUAGCUUGUUGGUGAGGUAACGGCUCACCAAGGCAACGAUGGGUAGCUGGUCUGAGAGGACGAUCAGCCACACUGGGACUGAGACACGGCCCAGACUCCUACGGGAGGCAGCAGUGGGGAAUCUUGCGCAAUGCGCGAAAGCGUGACGCAGCAACGCCGCGUGGGGGAAGAAGGCCUUCGGGUUGUAAACCCCUUUCAGGAGGGACGAAGGUUCGGCGGUGAAUAGCCGUCCGGACUGACGGUACCUCCACAAGAAGCCCCGGCUAACUACGUGCCAGCAGCGGCGGUAAUAC